UGCAAGUCGAGCGGUAGAGAGAAGCUUGCUUCUCUUGAGAGCGGCGGACGGGUGAGUAAUGCCUAGGAAUCUGCCUGGUAGUGGGGGAUAACGUUCGGAAACGGACGCUAAUACCGCAUACGUCCUACGGGAGAAAGCAGGGGACCUUCGGGCCUUGCGCUAUCAGAUGAGCCUAGGUCGGAUUAGCUAGUUGGUGAGGUAAUGGCUCACCAAGGCGACGAUCCGUAACUGGUCUGAGAGGAUGAUCAGUCACACUGGAACUGAGACACGGUCCAGACUCCUACGGGAGGCAGCAGUGGGGAAUAUUGGACAAUGGGCGAAAGCCUGAUCCAGCCAUGCCGCGUGUGUGAAGAAGGUCUUCGGAUUGUAAAGCACUUUAAGUUGGGAGGAAGGGCAGUUGCCUAAUACGUAACUGUUUUGACGUUACCGACAGAAUAAGCACCGGCUAACUCUGUGCCAGCAGCCGCGGUAAUACAGAGGGUGCAAGCGCUAAUCGGAAUUACUGGGCGUAAAGCGCGCGUAGGUGGUUUGUUAAGUUGGAUGUGAAAUCCCCGGGCUCAACCUGGGAACUGCAUUCAAAACUGACUGACUAGAGUAUGGUAGAGGGUGGUGGAAUUUCCUGUGUAGCGGUGAAAUGCGUAGAUAUAGGAAGGAACACCAGUGGCGAAGGCGACCACCUGGACUAAUACUGACACUGAGGUGCG
rnacentral:rRNA from 1 species